CAGGCUGGAGGCUGGAGCCUGUGGGGCUGUGGCUGUCCUCGCUGACUCGCCUCGCCAGCUUGCUUUGAUCGCUGCGGUUGGUGGCAGCCGCGGACACUGCAGCUGGCCAGAGCAUAGAAAGGCGUCAGAUCAAAGAAGGUGGCCAUGGAGACAGCAGCGUGGUUGGAGUGGUAGGAGCCGGCCAUCAGCGAGAGCUGCUCCGGGCCUGGCUGCUGAGUGCUAGAGCCUGCGGCCCAGUGGCUUCCUUCACUGUGGUUGGUGGUGGCGGUGACAGAGACUGCAGCAUGACCAGAGUGGCUUUUCUGGCUUUGCCCGCCCAGCUGCUCUGUGCCAGGAGGAGGAGGAGACACCUGGAGCCUGUGACACCACAGCUUGCCUCGCUGAGGGCGGGUGGCAGCGACGGAGACUGCAGCGUGCUGGAAC